rnacentral:rRNA from 1 species
UAGGGAAUCUUCCACAAUGGACGCAAGUCUGAUGGAGCAACGCCGCGUGAGUGAAGAAGGCUUUCGGGUCGUAAAACUCUGUUAUUGAAGAAGAACGUGUGUGACAGUAACUGGUCAUGCAGUGACGGUAUUCAAUCAGAAAGUCACGGCUAACUACGUGCCAGCAGCCGCGGUAAUACGUAGGUGGCAAGCGUUGUCCGGAUUUAUUGGGCGUAAAGCGAGUGCAGGCGGUCUUUUAAGUCUGUGUGAAAGCCUUCGGCUUAACCGAAGAAGGGCAUCGGAAACUGGGAGACUUGAGUGCAGAAGAGGAGAG